GGUUAGAGGUGAAGAGCAGUGUGGGUCAAGUGUCACUGACUGGAAGUAGGGAGUGUUUCUAGGCCACCCAUCGCUCCCUGCCUUUCUGUGAAUCACUAACUGGCAGUCAGAGCCAGUACCUGGGUCACAGACAGAAAGAGAAAUGAUGAACAUCUACAAGGCUGGACGUGUAACAAAUGGAAAAAAGUGAAAGCCGCUUGGAGUGCUGGAAAAGGAGAGGACUAAGCCAGGAGCACAAGGGAGGGAGAGGCUCCAAGCUGAGGAAUCUUUUCAAGCCUUUGUGUUAUUCAAGGGGCUGAGACCACACUUCCCUGGACAUAGCAGCCCCUAUAAAAGCAGAGGGGAACUGAGGUUCUCCCAGAAGUAGCCUCUGAGACAAGGAUUCUAGCGCACGUAGUUUAUUCGGGAAUCAGUCCUAGGAAAUACCAGUAGGGAAGUGGGAAAGUGAGAAAGAAGGGCAGGAAGCCAAUUCAGGGAGUGUCAUCAUGAAAGUUAUGCUACCACGUGAGCAAGAGGGGUGCAAUCCCGCUGGGGAACUCCGGAAGCUGUAUGAGACAUGCCUCAAGUCAUGCACACCACCAGGCAAGGAAGCGGGGUAUUUAUCCUCCAGCUCCCUCUUGGUCACUGGUUGAAGGCUGCUUCCAGGCACAUUAACUCUCCAGCACUUCCGGCUUGCCUUGAGCUGGCGCCAAGAGUGUUUCCAUGGCCAGGAAAAAACCCUCAAGCAAAUAGCAGGUGUUGGCAGUAAGCAGCCUUCUCUAGAGGUCAUUCCGGACUCCUGAAGCCGCCAGUCCCUCAGUGAGACAUGAGCGCCACUGGCGUCCGUGGCCUCUGUUUCCGUGGCAACCCAGUAACCAUUAAUUUUCAAUUAAAGGAGACAAAAAGCUCGAUGACAGCUCCAGGUCUGCUGAAGAUGUCAAGAAUCUGUAUUAAUAUACAGCAAGAGAGCAUAAUUGUGUGUCCAUCUUCCAGAGCAGCGAAAAAUGGAGGGAUAAUUACCAGCUCGAAAGCCACUCUGUAAUUUAGUUCUUACUGUCACCACAGCCCUACACAUUAGCAUAAAUUAAAAGCAGAGUUUAUUGUUAUCAAAGUGCA